CCGACGGGUGAGUAACGCGUAUCCAACCUGCCGUCUACUCUUGGACAGCCUUCUGAAAGGAAGAUUAAUACAAGAUGGCAUCAUGAGUCCGCAUGUUCACAUGAUUAAAGGUAUUCCGGUAGACGAUGGGGAUGCGUUCCAUUAGAUAGUAGGCGGGGUAACGGCCCACCUAGUCUUCGAUGGAUAGGGGUUCUGAGAGGAAGGUCCCCCACAUUGGAACUGAGACACGGUCCAA
rnacentral:rRNA from 1 species